rnacentral:rRNA from 1 species
GAUGAACGCUGGCGGCGUGCCUAAUACAUGCGAGUCGAGCGAACAGACGAGGAGCUUGCUCCUCUGACGUUAGCGGCGGACGGGUGAGUAACACGUGGAUAACCUACCUAUAAGACUGGGAUAACUUCGGGAAACCGGAGCUAAUACCGGAUAAUAUAUUGAACCGCAUGGUUCAAUAGUGAAAGACGGUUUUGCUGUCACUUAUAGAUGGAUCCACGCCGCAUUAGCUAGUUGGUAAGGUAACGGCUUACCAAGGCGACGAUGCGUAGCCGACCUGAGAGGGUGAUCGGCCACACUGGAACUGAGACACGGUCCAGACUCCUACGGGAGGCAGCAGUAGGGAAUCUUCCGCAAUGGGCGAAAGCCUGACGGAGCAACGCCGCGUGAGUGAUGAAGGUCUUCGGAUCGUAAAACUCUGUUAUUAGGGAAGAACAAAUGUGUAAGUAACUAUGCACGUCUUGACGGUACCUAAUCAGAAAGCCACGGCUAACUACGUG